rnacentral:rRNA from 1 species
AUGAUAUUGCAGCAAAUGUGUUCUUCCUCACAGCACGCACGGGUGGCUGCUCGGGUGCUCUUGCUGCUUUGCUCCUGCACGCUGUUACUCAGAGGAGCCCAAGGGGGAGAGUCUGGCAAGCUUUACAUAGCCUACCUAGGCGACGUGAAGCACGGGCACCCGGAUGAUGUGAUCGCCUCCCACCAUGACAUGCUCACCAAUUAA